rnacentral:rRNA from 1 species
GUCUAUGGUCAUACCAUCCUGAACACGCCUGAUCUCAUCUGUUCUCAGAAGCUAAGCAGGGUCGGGCCUGGUUAGUACUUGGAUGGGAAAACCUUACGCAAUAAUUA